ACAAACAUCAGAUCCAGUUUUCCUUCUUCCCUCUGGCGAUUAGGGUUUCUCUUCUCCCUCCAUCGAAUUCUUUAACCUACAAACUUUGAUUUGUCUCUAUCGUCGCCCUCAAAACCCUAGCGGCGCGUUUGCAUCUUCUUAAACUAAUUGACAACGAUGAUUGCAAACAUCAAACAUUGAUUUCACAUCUUCAAGGUACAAUUUUUCUUAUCUUCCAGUGUUCAUCAUCCACGUAACAGUCGGCUUUCAACUUGAAAUAUAUUCAUGUUAAGCGAUUCUAGAUCCGUCAGAGAGAAACAAUAUAUCUUGGUUAAAAAUAUGCAUUUUACUUUCUGAUAGUUGGAGCUGCAAUAUGGGCAUCUUCAUGGGCAUAAAUAUCAUGUUGGAUGUGGACUGGAGAAAGACAAUCAACAAAAAUGCGAAUCAAAUAUCUAGAAUCGGCAUUAAGUCAAGACUAUCAGUUCUUUGACACUGAAGUCAGAACAUCAUAUGUUGUAUUUGCUAUUAACACUGAUGCAGUUAUAGUUCAAGAUGCCAUAAGUGAAAAGUUGGGAAAUUUUAUACAUUAUUUGGCAACAUUUGUGUCUGGAUUUGUGGUGGGAUUCACUGCAGUUUGGCAAUUAGCACUUGUGACACUUGCUGUUGUGCCUUUAAUUGCUAUAAUUGGAGAUAUUCAUAUGACCACAUUGGCUAAAUUGUCUUCUAAAAGCCAAGAAGCUCUUUCAGAUGCUGCUGGUAACAUUGUUGAGCAGGGUUGGAGAAACGACGAUGUGAGCAAUGGUCGGAGACGAAGGGGAUUCAUAUCACUCGAUUAUGGUUUUGUAUUGGUACACAUUGGAUAUAGGAGCAGCACAAGCGAUGAAGAGAAUUCCACAAAUCAAGUUUGUACAACAUCAUUCUAAGCCUUUUGAACACUACUUUGACCUACUAAAGAUCAUGAGAAGGCCAACUCAGCAGCUUUAGUUCAAGGUUGAGCUUGACUCUGGGUAUUAAGGGGCUCUAUGUCGUGUUCUUGUGUUGGUCCUCAAUAAGAAGUUGAGGGAUCAAUUUGAUUUGUUGGAGCGACAAAGAUUUAUUUGACUGAAUUUCAAGAGUCUCACCGAUGCUGAUGCUGACACUGACACGGGGAUGUCAACUUUAAAAACCAAUAACAUAAGUUUGAUAAAGUAUUGCAGCAUAUACUUAAACAAGUUCUUUUAUAUUAGAUUGUAGAUGCGAAAAGUAUGUGAGUAAGGAAAAAGCAGCUCGUGGUAGUGGGAGAACUCAUUUCACAAAGGGAAUCAUAUGCUCCACAACCUACUGAUACACCUUAAGAUUCAAAGAUUCGACAUGAACCAGCGCUCUUAAGAGUUAAGAAGGUAAACCAGAGCCAAUGCAUGAGUAUAAACUAGCCGGAAGAGCUCUUAAAAUUCAGUUCGCCAAACGUAUGCAUAUUGUCUUAAAUAAAAGCAUUUACAUUCUACUAAAGGACAUGAUAGUGUGGGUCACCAAAUGUUAAUGCUCAAGAAGACAAGCCAGCUUUUGAAACUGGCUGGCAACUAAGUAGAUCAUGAAGGAGAUGAAAUCUACGGCAGUUGGGUUUUGUAAUUGUGGUGUGACUGCUGUUCAUGGUUGUAGGAGGUGUUACUCGGAGAUCACUGACUGGUUGCUACAAGCAUGUUACAACAAUGGUAUUUGCACGGCCAAGUGGAUUAAUCUAAAACAAAUCCCCGCAGAUGUAUAGUGAUGGUCGUAGCAAGAAAUUCUAGAUGGCUCUGAGAAAGAGUAACUGUUGUUUAUCUGAAGACACCUUAAUUCUUAAUAAAAGUAAAAAAUAUUUUAUACUUCAA